CUUGCUUCCGGCGUCGAGCGGCGGACGGGUGAGUAAUGCAUGGGAAUCUGCCCGAUAGUGGGGGAUAACCUGGGGAAACCCAGGCUAAUACCGCAUACGUCCUACGGGAGAAAGCAGGGGAUCUUCGGACCUUGCGCUAUCGGAUGAGCCCAUGUCGGAUUAGCUUGUUGGUGGGGUAAUGGCCUACCAAGGCGACGAUCCGUAGCUGGUCUGAGAGGAUGAUCAGCCACAUCGGGACUGAGACACGGGCCCGAAYUCCUACGGGAGGCAGCAGUGGGGAAUAUUGGACAAUGGGCGAAAGCCUGAUCCAGCCAUGCCGCGUGUGUGAAGAAGGCCUUCGGGUUGUAAAGCACUUUCAGUGAGGAAGAACGCCUCUGGCUUAAUACGUCAGAGGGAAGACAUCACUCACAGAAGAAGCACCGGCUAACUCCGUGCCAGCAGCCGCGGUAAUACGGAGGGUGCGAGCGUUAAUCGGAAUUACUGGGCGUAAAGCGCGCGUAGGUGGCUUGAUAAGCCGGUUGUGAAAGCCCCGGGCUCAACCUGGGAAUGGCAUCCGGAACUGUCAGGCUAGAGUGCAGGAGAGGAAGGUAGAAUUCCCGGUGUAGCGGUGAAAUGCGUAGAGAUCGGGAGGAAUACCAGUGGCGAAGGCGGCCUUCUGGACUGACACUGACACUGAGGUGCGAAAGCGUGGGUAGCAAACAGGAUUAGAUACCCUGGUAGUCCACGCCGUAAACGAUGUCGACUAGCCGUUGGGCUCCUUGAGAGCUUUGUGGCGCAGUUAACGCGAUAAGUCGACCGCCUGGGGAGUACGGCCGCAAGGUUAAAACUCAAAUGAAUUGACGGGGGCCCGCACAAGCGGUGGAGCAUGUGGUUUAAUUCGAUGCAACGCGAAGAACCUUACCUACCCUUGACAUCGAGAGAACUUUCCAGAGAUGGAUUGGUGCCUUCGGGAACUCUCAGACAGGUGCUGCAUGGCUGUCGUCAGCUCGUGUUGUGAAAUGUUGGGUUAAGUCCCGUAACGAGCGCAACCCUUGUCCCUAUUUGCCAGCGAUUCGGUCGGGAACUCUAGGGAGACUGCCGGUGACAAACCGGAGGAAGGUGGGGACGACGUCAAGUCAUCAUGGCCCUUACGGGUAGGGCUACACACGUGCUACAAUGGCCGGUACAAAGGGUUGCGAAUCCG
rnacentral:rRNA from 1 species